rnacentral:sRNA from 1 species
CAUCACUUACAUGGAAUACUGGAUGGCAUCCCGAGCAGCGGUCACAGGCAGUACCUCAUUCACGGCGACCUCCUUGUUUUCAUUCUUCUUUCUUCAAAGAAACGCCGGAUUUCCUGGACGCGAUGAGGCGAAAGCUCACUGAGAUCGUUGUAGUGGCGGUACUCAGGAUCGUCCACGCAGACGGCUAUGAUCUUGUCGUCCUUCUCUCCCUGUCUCAUUGAAGAUUUAGCUCCAAUCGGUCAAGCUGGAGUCGCGCAUAUACAGUUGAAGGAUGAUCACCUGCAUGAGCACUAGAACAUCCAUUGGAUCGUUGUCUUCGCAGAGCGUUCGAGGGAUGAAGCCGUAGUUGUGGGGGUAAACCACUGACGAGUACAAGACCCGAUCAACCUACCAUGAUGAACCCCGUUUUCUUGUCGAGCUCGUACUUCACCUUGCUUCCCUUGGAGAUCUCCACAACCUAUCCACGCAAAACCAAGAAGAAACGCAUCGUUAGUCAAGUCGUGCCAGGGGUGCGCGGCGACGGACCUCCGCGACAGCGACGAGAGGAUCCUCUCGUUCAGCCGCGGCGCC